CAGUCGCCGCGGUAAUACGAAGGGGGCUAGCGUUGCUCGGAAUCACUGGGCGUAAAGGGUGCGUAGGCGGGUCUUUAAGUCAGGGGUGAAAUCCUGGAGCUCAACUCCAGAACUGCCUUUGAUACUGAAGAUCUUGAGUAUGGGAGAGGUGAGUGGAACUGCGAGUGUAGAGGUGAAAUUCGUAGAUAUUCGCAAGAACACCAGUGGCGAAGGCGGCUCACUGGCCCAUAACUGACGCUGAGGCACGAAAGCGUGGGGAGCAAACAGGAUUAGAUACCCCAGUAGUCCCUGUCUCUUAUAC
rnacentral:rRNA from 1 species